rnacentral:rRNA from 1 species
UACGUAGGGCGCAAGCGUUGUCCGGAAUUAUUGGGCGUAAAGAGCUCGUAGGCGGUUUGUCGCGUCUGCUGUGAAAACCUAAGGCUCAACCUUGGGCUUGCAGUGGGUACGGGCAGACUAGAGUGCGGUAGGGGUGACUGGAAUUCCUGGUGUAGCGGUGGAAUGCGCAGAUAUCAGGAGGAACACCGAUGGCGAAGGCAGGUCACUGGGCCGCAACUGACACUCAGGGACGAAAGCUAGGGGAGCGAAUGGG